UUAUUCCCCUCCCAAACAAGCCAGGUCUAGCACGGCUAUCACCUCCAUUACCACCAUCGUCAUUAUGCAAUGAUAUGAAAGAAGAUACAGGAGAGUCAGAAGCUAACUGCUUGCCAGAGCAAACACGUUGCAACAGUCCUAAAGGAAUAAAACAUGGGACCAGAAAGCUAAGCGGCAUAUUGGGUAGAAGCCUUCAAAAGAAAAUUCAGAUGAAAUCUCCAG
rnacentral:misc_RNA from 1 species